CCUACGGGAGGCAGCAGUGAGGAAUAUUGGACAAUGGGCGCAAGCCUGAUCCAGCCAUGCCGCGUGCAGGAUGACGGUCCUAUGGAUUGUAAACUGCUUUUGCACAGGAAGAAACAACGCUACGUGUAGCGUCUUGACGGUACUGUGAGAAUAAGGAUCGGCUAACUCCGUGCCAGCAGCCGCGGUAAUACGGGGGAUCCAAGCGUUAUCCGGAAUCAUUGGGUUUAAAGGGUCCGUAGGCGGUUUAGUAAGUCAGUGGUGAAAGCCCAUCGCUCAACGGUGGAACGGCCAUUGAUACUGCUAGACUUGAAUUAUUAGGAAGUAACUAGAAUAUGUAGUGUAGCGGUGAAAUGCUUAGAGAUUACAUGGAAUACCAAUUGCGAAGGCAGGUUACUACUAAUUGAUUGACGCUGAUGGACGAAAGCGUGGGUAGCGAACAGGAUUAGAUACCCUGGUAGUCCACGCCGUAAACGAUGGAUACUAGCUGUUGGGAGCAAUUUCAGUGGCUAAGCGAAAGUGAUAAGUAUCCCACCUGGGGAGUACGUUCGCAAGAAUGAAACUCAAAUGAAUUGACCGG
rnacentral:rRNA from 1 species